rnacentral:misc_RNA from 1 species
CCCUCGGUGCUCAUCAGGU